rnacentral:rRNA from 1 species
AUCGGUGUAAGAAGGGCUCGCGUCUGAUUAGCUAGUUGGAAGGGUAAAGGCCUACCAAGGCGACGAUCAGUAGCCGGUCUGAGAGGAUGAACGGCCACAUUGGAACUGAGACACGGUCCAAACUCCUACGGGAGGCAGCAGUGGGGAAUAUUGCACAAUGGGGGGAACCCUGAUGCAGCGACGCCGCGUGAGCGAAGAAGGUUU